CUCGAAACCCUUUCUACCCUCCCUUUCCCGAAGAGAAAAAAAUCUCCAGAUUCUGUAACCUCCCACACGUGAACAGGGGCUGCUUAUGGUCCCAGUAGGGCUCCCACUGAAGGGACUGGUUUGGUUCCUCUUUUACCUCUUUGGGAAAUAGAACAGGGUCAUUAUGUCUAUAUCCCUUUCUCUACCAGUGACUUAUAUAAUUAAAAACAUCAAAAUCCCUCUUUUUCAGAAAAAUCUCAGGCUUUGAUCUCCCUCCUAGAAUCUGUUUUUCAUACACAUGACCCAACCUGGGAUGAUUGUCAACAACUUCUCCAAGCCCUUUUCACCUCUGAGGAGAGAGAAAGGAUCCAAGAGCAAGCCAUCAAGUCAGUGUUGGGAAGAACAGAGGGCCCACUUGAUGAACAACGACGAGCCCGUAUUGAGGCACAACUUCCUUCCACCCGUCCCCCGUGGCAAGUUAAUUCCUCAGACAUAGAGACUUAAUGGACCAGGCCCUCCCCUGCACAGAGGCAACGUUAUACACUGAUGGAUACAGUUUUUUUUCAUGAUAAUGUACGGUAUGCUGGAACAGCGGUGGUCAACCAGGACCAACAGGGGAGAUUUAUCAAAAUAGAGGGCUGCUGACCUCCGAAGAAAAGAAAAUUAAAAACAAGGCUGAGAUAUUGACAUUGCUACAAGCCAUCUGGUUGCCUUGAGAGGUCGCCAUCAUCCAAUGCCGUGGGCACCAAAGGGGUUUAGCCCCGAGGUGAUUGGUAAUAAUGCUGCUGAUCAGGCAGCAAAACAAGCUGCCCCAAAAUCAGUGGGGAAACAAAUGGUUCUGCUCCCCACACCAGUACUCCCAGAAAAACCUAAAUACAUGGAUAAAAAAGUAGCAGAAAUAAACAGGAGACACUGGACUCGAGGAAGACAUGGGUGGUGGAUGACCAAUGAUGGAAAGGUGGUGCUCCCAGCUGCUGUAAUAGAUAUGUUACUGUGAGAACUACAUGAGUCCACCCACCUUGGAGAGAAAAAAAUAAUGGCUGCCCUGCGACCUCAUUUCGUCAGCACGGGAUUAGCCCAAAAGGCCCAGGACAUGGUCAGACGAUGCCCCACCUGCCUCAAGGUUUGAUUCCAAGACCCUGGAACCACUUUAGAAGGGACCAGUUCCUGUUGUCCUGUCGACUCCUUGGACAGUAAAGGUAGCCAGACAUUCUGCCUGGAUACAUCACAACCAUCUAAAGGCAGGACCCCCCGCAGACAUCACAAAGGACAAAUAAAAGGUUACCAGCCAACCAGGUGACCUAAAACUGAGACUGGAGUGGGCUAGAGGUGUUUCACAUUCAUGAUAAUGUUCUCUGGGACACUGGCAGUUUUGCCCCCAAGAGGACUAGAUCAUACAAAAAAUGUAUAGAUUCAAUUGACAAACUCCCUUAAUCUGUCCAAAUUCUGUCUGAAUGUUAAUGUAAAUUUCCAUUAUGUGCUGAGAAGCUGUCUUAUUCUGGUAUACACCUCUUUAAAAUUAAUACGACCCUAUACCCUGUUCAAAAACUUCCCAGAAAAGAACCUUACUUAUAUAGAUAGUUAUAACUGGGGACAUGCUUCAUGUCAUAAACCUAAAAAUGCUGUCAAAUUAUAUACACCCAAGGUAAUCAUGUCAAAUAAGACUCCAUGUGCUAUGUAUAAAAAUUGUACAACUAAGUGUCUGAGGAUAAAACAAUCAGAAGAGAUGCCCUGCCAUAUAAAACAAAAAAUUGUAUAUAACAAUUGCCAUAUCUCCCUGCCAAUAGGGUGGUUUUAUACCUGUGAAGGAAUAACCUUCAAUUAUAUUCCAGCAAAUUUAACCAAGACCCAUUGCUGCUUGAGUCGUCUAGCUGUAGUAUUGCCAGAUAGAACUGAUUUGAUUGUGCCUAAUAGAGCUAAACGUUGGUCACCUUACACUGUGCCAAGAUGUGAUGAUGAUGUAGGUCUGUUAACAGAUGCUAAAGUAAUAACUAUGAUAACAUCCUUUGUUGCCCUGCCUUCCAUAGGGGUCCAUGCCGAAAGAACAGCGCAAAAAUUAACGUACAAGGUGGUCAAAGGGUUAAAUACUACCUCAACAGCUUUGACAUUAAUUAACCAAGAGUUACAGGAACAGAGACAGACAAUCUUAGAUAAUAGAGCAACAAUAGACUAUUUGUUGCUCUUCCACCACCAAGGUUGUAAAAGGAUAAAAAAUAUGUGUUGUUUCAAUCUUACCGAUAAUAGUCCAAAAAUCAAAGAAAAGGUAAAACAAUUAAAAGAUCUGGCUCAAAGAGUACAUGACGAAGAUGACAGGGAUUUGUUCAAAUGGCUAACUAAAUGGUUGCCCAACCUAAAAUGGUUAAAACAACUUUUUCUUGUCAUCAUAGUUGUAUAUAUAUGCUUAUUAUUGUCAUGUUGUUGUAUACAAUAGAUGCCUGUAUUUAUGCGUAAGAUUACUUAGGUUAUAAAAAAAAUCAGUGGAGAAUGUGAGACUACAAAACCUUGUAAUCUUAGAAUUCUUGUAGCCCUGACUACAAUUAAAUGUGAGCUAAUGAUUAA